UGUGUAAAACGCCAAACACACAGUCUGUCACAAGUAAACACAUGCAGAUAUGCAAGCACACAAACCACCUGAAGCAUAGCUUAGCCUAUCAUUAAGAAAUUAAAGAAAUUAAGCAACAGGAACUGGUCAAACCAGCUCUGAUUCAGUGAUAAUGGAGCUAAUAAACACUGAAGUCAAAACCCAAAGCCUCAAUCAUGGCAAGGGCCUCAGUACUUACAGCAAGGCUAAUUGUGAAAAUGAUGCCCUGCUUCCCUUGAACUUCUCCUGAACCUUUCUUACAGCAUCCAAAUGAUGCCCCUGUAUUUGUGUUUGACCUCUGCGUGGAAAUAACCUCCUCAGUUAUCCUUGGAAAAUUGCAGGGUAUGAGCAGAGCUAGCCGGGAGCGCACAUGGCUAUCGGCUGCGGAGGCAUCUGCAGGGAGAGAAAACACAUUGUUGCUAUUAGCGUGUGACUCUGCCUUUUAACAAAUGGCUGAUCUGUUGUGACAUGCUCUUCCUUUCCCCAGUGGAUCUGUGACAGCGUUGUUGCAGAGAACUGUGUCUCAGAGGUCCAUUGACAAAGCUGUCGUGAAGUAUGUGAUCCAAGAGCUCCAGUCUUUGUGAUGGUGAACAAGAACCAUUUAGAGGUUUUGUGAAGGAACUGCUGCCUAAUGCAAAAAUUAUGUCAGAGCUGACCCUGUGCUUCAUGACUGAAUCCUCCAAUGGAAUGAAGAAGGCAGCGAUUGAGGCCAUGCGGGCCAUAUCGCCACCACCACCGACUGCUGGUCUGUUAGAAGGUGGAGCUUCAUUGGUUUUACUGCCCAUUUGAUUGAUCCUGACCGUCUCCAAAGAUGCUCAGCAGCCCUAACCUGUAAACAACUAAGAGGUUUGCACACAUUUGAUGGGUUGGCAAGCACCCUGAAUGACAUCUAUUCUGAGAACAACAACAGACAGCAGCUCUAACUUCAUAAAAGCUAUCCAUGUUUUUGGUGAAGAUGAGAACAACACUGCAGUCGGAAGUGAUGGUGAUGCAUCUCAACCAGGAGAGGAUGAAGUGGAUCAAGAGGGGGGUGAAGAAGUGGAGUUUUUUGAUUUGUCAAUGCUUCUGAUUGAAGAUGAUGGUUUCAAAUUCCAGCUCCCAAAGCACCAGCAUUGUGCUCGUCACCAACUCAACCUAAUAUGUACAGUUGAUGCCAUGAAAGCAACAUCCAAUGAAACUUGCUAAAGGUUUACCAUACAACAUUUGGUAGCAAUGCACCCUGGAACAAAUGUGGAAGAUCCACACUUGCAGCAGAAACUGUUGAAGAUGCUUGCUCCUUCCAGCUGCUGUGCCCAAAUGCUCCCAGGUGGAACUGGUUGUUCCUGGCCAUGGAAAGACUAAUGUUUAAUCCAGCUGAACUCUCAUUCCUCACAGAGUGUGCCACUGCUAUGAGCCCAGUCACCCAGGCAGUCAACAUCUUGCAAGCAAAAGCAAAUGCCCAGAUGGGGUGGCUACUUCCAACAAUCAACUAGGUGACCGGUUUGAAGUACUGCAAGCCUCUGGUGGAUGCUCUACAUGUGGGAAUAAAGAAUCGUUUUGGCCACAUGUCAGGAGACCCUGAGUUGAUUGCAGCUGCAAUUCUUCUUCCACAAUUCCAAACAACUUGGACAAAAGAUGAUGCCACAAUCAGAAUGACACAUGGAAGAACCCUCCCUGCAGCUAGGUGAUGCCACCAGCUCCAGUUCAUUUGAUGAAGUUGACUUCUUCUCUGCCCUGCAAUUGUCUCAAGCUCAAGACAGCUCCAAACAACUGGACUUGGCCUGUUCAGCAGAUCACAUGGACUUUCUGAAAUCCUUCCCAGAUGUGUGCAAGCUGUCUGUGAAGCUGAACACGCCUCUACCUGCCUCAGUGGCCCGUGUAAGGCUAUUUAGCAUUGCAGGACCUGUCUUCAGCCCAAGAGGAGAGAGACUGAAUUCUCACAGUUUUGAAAACCCACUUCUUUUGAACAUGAUCAGCAAAUCUUUCAGUUCCAAGCAAUGACUGGGUUGUUACUGUUGGGAAGGGAAGGAGGAAGGGAGGGAUGGAUGAAUGAAGGAAGGAAUGGGAGGGAAGGAAAAACUGGAUUUUGUUCUUCAAAUCCUUGUUGUGAAGAACUUGUUUUUCUUCAAGUGUAAUGUGGGCUAGAUUUUUAAGGUGGUGU